UACGUAGGGGGCAAGCGUUGUCCGGAUUUAUUGGGCGUAAAGAGCGUGUAGGCGGCCAGACAGGUCCGUUGUGAAAACUCGAGGCUCAACCUCGAGACGCCGAUGGAAACCGUCUGGCUAGAGUCCGGAAGAGGAGAGUGGAAUUCCUGGUGUAGCGGUGAAAUGCGCAGAUAUCAGGAAGAACACCCGUGGCUAAGGCGGCUCCUCUAGUACGGUACUGACGCUGAGACGCGAAAGCGUGGGGAGCGAACAGG
rnacentral:rRNA from 1 species